CUUUUAGGUUCGCGCUAUCAUGCAGUCGAGCGAACGGACGAGAAGCUUGCUUCUCUGAUGUUAGCGGCGGACGGGUGAGUAACACGUGGAUAACCUACCUAUAAGACUGGGAUAACUUCGGGAAACCGGAGCUAAUACCGGAUAAUAUUUUGAACCGCAUGGUUCAAAAGUGAAAGACGGUCUUGCUGUCACUUAUAGAUGGAUCCGCGCUGCAUUAGCUAGUUGGUAAGGUAACGGCUUACCAAGGCAACGAUGCAUAGCCGACCUGAGAGGGUGAUCGGCCACACUGGAACUGAGACACGGUCCAGACUCCUACGGGAGGCAGCAGUAGGGAAUCUUCCGCAAUGGGCGAAAGCCUGACGGAGCAACGCCGCGUGAGUGAUGAAGGUCUUCGGAUCGUAAAACUCUGUUAUUAGGGAAGAACAUAUGUGUAAGUAACUGUGCACAUCUUGACGGUACCUAAUCAGAAAGCCACGGCUAACUACGUGCCAGCAGCCGCGGUAAUACGUAGGUGGCAAGCGUUAUCCGGAAUUAUUGGGCGUAAAGCGCGCGUAGGCGGUUUUUUAAGUCUGAUGUGAAAGCCCACGGCUCAACCGUGGAGGGUCAUUGGAAACUGGAAAACUUGAGUGCAGAAGAGGAAAGUGGAAUUCCAUGUGUAGCGGUGAAAUGCGCAGAGAUAUGGAGGAACACCAGUGGCGAAGGCGACUUUCUGGUCUGUAACUGACGCUGAUGUGCGAAAGCGUGGGGAUCAAACAGGAUUAGAUACCCUGGUAGUCCACGCCGUAAACGAUGAGUGCUAAGUGUUAGGGGGUUUCCGCCCCUUAGUGCUGCAGCUAACGCAUUAAGCACUCCGCCUGGGGAGUACGACCGCAAGGUUGAAACUCAAAGGAAUUUGACGGGGACCCGCACAAGCGGUGGAGCAUGUGGUUUAAAUUCGAAGCAACGCGAAGAACCUUACCAAUCUUGACAUCCUUUGACAACUCUAGAGAUAGAGCCUUCCCCUUUCGGGGGACAAAGUGACAGGUGGUGCAUGAUGGUCGGUCAGCUCGUGUCGUGAGAUGGUGGUAGUCCCGCACCGAGCGCACCCAUAAGCCUUAGUGCCAUCAUUAGUGGCACUCUAGCGAACUGCGUGACAAACGAAGAAGUGGAUGACGCUCAAUCAUCAUGGCCGUUUAGGGAUGGGCUACACACCAG
rnacentral:rRNA from 1 species